GAGUGCAAUCAUACGGGCACUAAAGCACCGGAUCCCAUUAGAACUCCGAAGUUAAGCGUGCUUGGGUGAGAGUACCACUGUCUAAGUGCCUGUUUGAGUCCAUAUAAGCUUUUU
rnacentral:rRNA from 1 species